rnacentral:rRNA from 1 species
UACGUAGAAGGCAAGCGUUAUCCGGAUUUACUGGGCGUAAAGCGGGUGCAGGCGGCUUUUCAAGUCGGAUGUAAAAUCUCCCGGCUUAACUGGGAGGGACCAUUCGAUACUGUUGGGCUAGAGAGCAGUAGAAGGAGGCGGAAUUCCCGGUGUAGUGGUGACAUGCGUAGAUAUCGGGAGGAACACCAGCGGCGAAGGCGGCCUCCUAGACUGUUUCUGACGCUGAGGCCCGAAAGCGUGGGGAGCGAACAGGAUUAGAUACCCCUGUA